CGCAGCGUUCAGCGGCUGCUCGUCGGGCUCAUAACCCGAAGGUCGCAGGUUCGAAUCCUGCCCCCGCUA
rnacentral:tRNA from 1 species